AUUGAACGCUGGCGGCGUGCUUAACACAUGCAAGUCGAACGAAGUGGCGAACGGGUGAGUAACGCGUAAUCAACCUGCCCUUCAGAGGGGGACAACAGUUGGCAACGACUGCUAAUACCGCAUACUGAAGGAGGGGAUUGCGUCUGAUUAGCUAGUUGGCGGGGUAACGGCCCACCAAGGCGAUGAUCAGUAGCCGGUCUGAGAGGAUGAACGGCCACACUGGGACUGGGAAACGGCCCAGACUCCUACGGGAGGCAGCAGUUGGGAAUCUUCCGCAAUGGACGAAAGUCUGACGAAGCAACGCCGCGUGAUUGAUGACGGCCUUCGGGUUGUAAAGCUCUGUUAAUCGGGACGCGGUACCGGAAUAGAAAGCCACGGCUAACUACGUGCCAGCCGCCGCGGUAAUAC
rnacentral:rRNA from 1 species